UCUGGCAGGGAGCAUAUCUGGGGUGGAAGCACGGUCUCUGGGACUAUGGUGGCCUGUUCUAGGCAUUGCUGUGUCCGAGUGCCUGCCUGAGGUGUAGGGGUUGAGGCUCCAGACACUGGAGGAGGGUCUCUGUAGGUCAGGGCUGACUCCUUGCUGUCCCUGAGGCGAUGAGGUAACCCUGAGUAUCGUGUGCACUUCCUUCCUCUGAUGACUUCUUUCCAGGGAUGCCCCUCGAGGAAACUUCGCGGCAUCCAUCACAGCCAUUUCUGGUGGGCACAGACUUCAAGCAGGACCUAGGUAACCCACCAGACAGUGCCCCCAAUGCAUGGCGUGCAUAAACUUGGAGUCACCAUCAAUGGUUAGGUAUGACAGAGUCCUCCUGAUCCCCCAGUUUGACCUGGGGAGCAUCUGAGGAUGUGCCCAAGAUAGACAAGAGUUGCUGCCUUGUCUUUCAGUAUAGCUUAUAAUGAUCUCACACUGGUGGGUGACAGUGUCCAGCGGUCGGUCCCCUAUGCGCCCUGGCAUGCCCCAUACCCUCUGUCACUAAUGCACUGUGCGCUGAGUUAUUCUGAUGGGGGCAGCAGUUUGCCCAGCCCCCUUCCCCUUAAAAGUGGGUUUCUCUGCUGCUGCCUGGCCCCAUGUCACACAAUGAGAAGUCCUGCAAGGUCUCGGUGGACUUGUCCAAUUCCUGAGGCCUUGGGGGCGGGGGCAGUAUGGUAGUGUUACUGGGUCUCUAGAUGAAGUCCCGAGCACAUAACCUGACAGCAGAAUUCUUUGUGUUCUGUCCUGGAUCUUCCUGACAGUCCCCAGUGUGUAUUAUGUUCUUGUGCUGGGGAAAAUGAGGUGUUUAUUUAUUGAUAUCUAUGGGGUUUUUUUUUUAAUUGCAACUACCUUUUGAGAAUUUGGAAGAUAAUUUACUGAGAGGGUCCAUUACUCGGCAGGUGCAUGAGGGACCUGUGAGACUCAGGGCCUGUCUCACCGCACAUGAAUUCUGGGUUCAUGAUCACGCACAGGGCCGCUGUUCACUGCCUCCAGGGUGGGAAUGUGGCGUCACCUGGCAGGGACACCCUGCUUGCUUAAAAGACUAAUAUUCAGAUUCUUCUACUUCUACUACUACUACUACUACUACUACUACUACUACUACUACUACUACUACUACACACACACACACUUAAGCGUUGUGGUUACUGUGUAGGCAUGGUUAGUAUGGACAGCUCACACAUGCUCAGUCAGACCUGCAGGGAGGGGUAGGAGCUGUAUCUCUGGUCUCUUUAGCACAUAUAGAGACCUCCCCCCACCCCUUCCACAUUGGGAGGGAACUUGACCCCAGCAGGUGCUGGGCUAGCUGUAACAGUCUCUUAUCGGGGUUAUAGCUAUACCAAAGUCUUUCAAGAUGGCACAGGAUCAUGGGAUCCUGCACCUGCACUAAAUCACGCCAGACUGGCACAAAUAUCAUGUGUUAUUAUUGGCCAAGUUAAUUUUAAGGCCCCUUUCCUUUUAGAAAAAGAAGUGUGUGUGGGUGUGUGUAUGGUGGGGUCUCCUGCCCUCAACCCCAUUUCCCUCGGGGACAGGAAUGAGAGAGAGUGCAGAUGGCCUCUGGCAUAGUCCUAAAGAUUCAUAUAUGGGCUGGUGGUGGAUCUGCUAGCGCCAUCUCAAAGGCCAUCUUUCCACCCUGGCAUGUGGCUAGGGUGUGUCCUGGAUCCAUAGGGUGGGAGGAGGAGCCAGAUGGGUUUAUGAUACAUGGCUGUUUGAGAGUUCCCAUCAUGCAGGCAAGUCCCUAGAUGCCUCUUGUACUCAGACUGUUAACAGGGCGAGUCAUGAGUACUAGUGACCUGGGUUUCUGGCCUGGAUCACUUAUCAUGAUGGAGGAUGUUCCACUUAUUGCUGUUUUUACACAGCUAUACUCUACAUAGGCGUGGUUUCAUAAGGCAAGAAUCAAUGCACAAAGUCCAAGAAUAUCAGAUAAUUUUAGAGCCACUAUGUGACACACACCAAAUUAAAACCUUUGGCAAGCCCCAGUUUGUUUAUUAUUUAUUUUAAUCUAAACUACCCUCUUGUCCUUAGGGCUCCCUGCUUUUCCUCUGGGUCAUAAUUAAAUGUGUGGGUUUUUUGUUUUUGUUUUUGUUUUUUGUUUUUGUUUUUAAACAAAGCCUGUGGAAAUUGUCACACUGUAGUGGUUGACAGAGGAACCUGUCUUGCUACUGAUACUCAAGUGUGCACAUUGAAAGGCCCAUUGGCUGACAUUACAAACUGUCCAUGUAAAACCAGCAAUGAAGGAUGGAUGGUGACCUACAGGGGAAAGACACUGCAGGUUCACAAGCCCAGCCUUGAUUGGCAGAGGCAGGAGGCUUAUGAGUUUGAGGCUAGCCUGGCCUACAUGGCAAGUCUCUGCCUCCAGAACACCAAGGGCUAUGGCAGUAGCUCUGGGCCAAGGUCUUGCCUUACAUCUCCAAGAUUCUGGGUUUAAUUCCCAGAGGGUGUGGACAGCGGGCAGCAGACUGUUAGCCAACUAAUAAGAUUUAUCUCUAGUGGCCGCCUUGACCUUGGCUAUGUGUCUGUGAGAAGCAGCUGUUCUGAGGCCCCACUAGCCAGGAUUGUUCACCAGUGGUCAGUGUGACAGAGAGGCAGAGCAACUCGGUACAGGAACUCACCGUUUCAGUGGUAGGGUAAGGACAGAGGGAGAAGGCUUGGUUGGCUGAUGGAAGCCACACACUUGGCAUGAUGACCCACCAAGGAGGGAAUGAGGGGAGCUCAAGGGACACGCCCUCAGAAUCCCCCAAGGAUUUUUGCAAGACUUGCUUCGUUCCUGAGGCCGAGUUGCCCCGUCAUGAAGGUGCCGCCACGUGUUCUUCUAUGGACAUUCCCAGGAAGGUCCCUCAUCAGUGGUACAUCCCCGGACACUGAGUCUGUCACCUGAGACUGUGGCUGUGUCGCCCAGGCAGUGUGAGGCUGUGACCUAGUCACUGUCCAUGAAUGGGCUGUGGAGGGGUGCGUGUCCAACUUAGAUGUGGUGAACCUCAGAAUGGCAUCACCGCCUUCCUACAUGUUUGAUUCCACUUCUACUUGGAACUUCCAUAAUUUAAAUU
rnacentral:lncRNA from 1 species